UAUAUACACAUAAUCAUAGAACUAUUUAUAUUAUUAGCAUCAAAUCUCUAUCAGCUCUUGUUUCUGGCCGGCGGUGGAUUAUUUUGGAUUUAUGGUCAAGUUAGCUUCCGAGAUAGGUUGGCGUCCGGUCCACGGGACUGUACAGUGCAGUGCUAUAUAUCAAUUCUUAGUUAGUUCAAUUGUUUUGAUCAGCAUAAUUAAUAUUUUUGUAUAUCUAUAUGUAUACACACGUGUGUAUAUUAACACACGUAUAUCUACAGUAAAUUUCAGCGGCUUAGAAGAUCAUGGCGUCAGAAAAGAGAGGACACUCAUUAAUUUAAAGAUUCAAUUGGGGUAUAUCUGUCUGAGCGGUAGUGUUUGCUAAUCGUCCAAAUCGUUUCGAUUAUGAGCUGGUUUGAGGUUCUGCAGAUCACAACUAAUGCAGAUCAAGUUUGAGCUAAUUUUCCUCUUUCGUUGGCUGAUAUCAUAUUUUACUUUACAAAUAAAAAACUAGUGGAUGCUCUAAUCGAUCAUGCAUAAUAGUAUACUUCAGAAAAAAUAAAAAUGAAAUAUCAUGUAUAAUAGUAAGCAGUUACAAUAUCAUAAUAGAUUUUGUAAUAAGUGUUAAUCUAAAUGCACACCGUAUACCUUUAAAUGUUUGUCCUGAUAGCAUAUUUAAUUUUUUUUUCCUUUUUAUCCUUCCAAAAAGAAAAAAAAAAUCUUUUUUAUAUAACGGAAUAUUUUUAUAUAUUUAGAAUUAUUUUGUUAAACCAACAAAAAAAUAUUAGAUAAUAACUAUUUAAUAUAUAAAGAUUUUAAAUGUUUACUAUUACUUUAUUUUUGUAUAAUAAAAAAGUCAUUGAAUUUUAUAAAUAAAUGCAUUACAAAUAUAUAAAGAGAAAAAUGAAAAUAUACAUAUAAUCAUAAGUUUUCUUUGGGUACAUAAGUGUGUUUAAAAAAUUGGUUAUGAUUUGUGAAAAAAUUAAUUAAUAUUAAACGAUAAAAGAAAAAAAAGAUAUAAUUGUGCCAUGCAUCAAAUAAAUAAAGGGUGCAUGUGCAUUGAUUGAACAUUUCAAUUUCACAAUAUAUUAUUUCAAAUUUAAUUCGUGCUUGUUUUUAAUAUUAUAAUUUAAUUCGAUUAAUUAAUUAUUAAUUAAAUGGAUCAUCAUGCCUUCAAACUAAUUAUUUAUGUCUACCAAAUAAUUUAAAAUUUACUUAUCAAAAAAAAAAAUUAUUAAUUUUAUUUUAUUUAAAAAAGUUCGG